rnacentral:rRNA from 1 species
AGCGAACGCUGGCGGCAGGCCUAACACAUGCAAGUCGAACGAAGUCUUCGGACUUAGUGGCGGACGGGUGAGUAACACGUGGGAGCGUGCCUUUAGGUUCGGAAUAACUCAGGGAAACUUGUGCUAAUACCGAAUGUGCCCUUCUGGGGAAAGAUUUAUCGCCUUUAGAGCGGCCCGCGUCUGAUUAGCUGGUUGGUGAGGUAAAGGCUGACCAAGGCGACGAUCAGUAGCUGGUCUGAGAGGAUGAGCAGCCACAUUGGGACUGAGACACGGCCCAAACACCUACGGGAGGCAGCAGUGGGGAAUCUUGCGCAAUGGGCGAAAGCCUGACGCAGCCAUGCCGCGUGAAUGAUGAAGGUCUUAGGAUUGUAAAAUUCUUUCACCGGGAACGAUAAUGACGGUACCCGGAGAAGAAGCCCCGGCUAACUUCGUGCCAGCCGCCGCCGUAACAC